UCUUGCACAAAAAAUCUGAAUGCUUCCACGCCUCAAUCACGAGAAAGCGUUCACUCUCUCGAGUUUACUGAUGUUAUUACACUAGAAUACAAGUAUUUCAAAACUUGCUGGAAAGUAUUCGAUAUGGGUGAUUCCUCAAUUGUAUGCUUACACGCUCAAUUUCCCUGUUGAAAAAUUCCUCCAAGCUCAAGGAAAAAUAUGAGUUAUGACAGAUGCUUGAUGCUUUAAUCCUACUUUGGAUGCUUUAUUCUAUUAUUGAAUUUUUGCUAUGCUAUUUUACAUGUUUUAAACCACAAAAAAUUUGAAGUUAUAGUGCACCACUGGUGCUGUCCAUGUAAUGUUGGUAAAGAGCUAAAUGGGAUACCCUUGUUUUGCCAUCAUGGUCCUUUACAUGAAAAAUUGCUCUCAAGUGCCUUAAGAAAUUUAGCAAAGUAGACAGUUACAAUAAUCCAUGUCACUAUUCUUGUAAGUCUCUUCUGGAACUACAUUUUUUGUUGCAGGCUUUAAGGCUCUUCAGAUGACAAUUAAGUGUACCAAAAAGGAGUUUGCUAAGAUUUUUGUUCUCUUUUAUCACUGUAACUGCGGCAGCCUCCAAUGUUUCUUUUUUAAAUGCAGUGGAAGAAGAAGCGUAUGAGGAAGCUGAAGAGAAAGCUCAGAAAGAUGAGAUAGAGAUCUAAGUAGAGCAGGGUGCCUAUGAUGCUUUCUUGGGAUCUAGAAGAUUUCUAUUUCGUCUAACACUGGGCCGUCUCCAGACUGAAGAGGCUAAGUUUAGUAAAGCUGAGAAGAAUGUGAAAGAGUUGAGCAGUUGGAAGAGUGGAUCUCGCUGAAAACGAUAUGAAACGUGGCAUGUCCGAGCUUCAACGCUUAUUUUCUUCAUUCAUAUACUCAAAGCGUGGAGUAGAUCAAGAAAUGGAUGAUGAAGACGAUGAGAACU